rnacentral:rRNA from 1 species
CGAAGGAUCCUAGCGUUGUCCGGAUUCACUGGGUUUAAAGGGUGCGUAGGCGGAUUUUUAAGUCAGUGGUGAAAGCCGGCAGCUUAACUGUCGAAUUGCCAUUGAAACUGAAAGUCUCGAGUACGGUUGAGGUGGCUGGAAUGUAUCAUGUAGCGGUGAAAUGCUUAGAUAUGAUACAGAACACCAAUUGCGAAGGCAAGUCACUAAACCGUAACUGACGCUGAGGCACGAAAGCGUGGGGAGCAAACAGGAUUAGAUACCCUGGUAGUCCACGCCCUAAACGUUGAUAACUCGCUGUUGGCGAUACACUGUCAGCGGCUAAGCGAAAGCGGUAAGUUAUCCACCUGGGGAGUACGGCCGCAAGGUUG